rnacentral:lncRNA from 1 species
UCAAAAUGAUAUAAAGUGGGUUUAUUUAAACACAAACUAAGAAAAGCUUUAAAAAAAGGUUAUAGUCCCUGAAUUUUGAUAGUUACACAUAUAUGAACUUCAUAUUGCUUCAAAAAAGAGAGCAUCCUUAGAAGCAUAGCAACAAAAAUCACAUAAUAAAAUUGAGGGAUUUAAGAGAAAAGAAGAGUGGUUGGACCUUUAUUAUUGAAAGUUCCAACAUUUACAAUAAAGAGGAGCUCCAAAAGAUUUACAAACGAGAACUUCGUUGAACCCAGCAACCUCGAGUUAAACCUCAUUCUAGUGGUCGUUUCUGACAACAUUUUGGUAAUAGAAUCGAGGUCUGUUAGCUGAGAUUUCGUGGGUGUUUAAGGGUAGUUCAAAGCAGAUUUUGCAGCAGCUAUGGUGUUUUAUUUGGAUGGUUUAUGGAUCGGUAUUCAGGGCUGGCUUGGAGGUAUUUUUUGUGCUAUUUUUG